rnacentral:rRNA from 1 species
CUACGGGGUGCACCAGUGGGGAAUAUUGGACAAUGGGGGAAACCCUGAUCCAGCAAUGCCGCGUGUGUGAAGAAGGCCUGCGGGUUGUAAAGCACUUUCGGUUGGGAGGACUGCUUCUAGCACUAAUAUUGUUGGAAGUUGACGUUACCUUCAGAAGAAGCACCGGCUAACUCCGUGCCAGCAGCCGCGGUAAUACGGAGGGUGCAAGCGUUAAUCGGAAUUACUGGGCGUAAAGCGCGCGUAGGCGGCUAGAUCAGUCGGGUGUGAAAGCCCCGGGCUUAACCUGGGAACUGCAUCCGAUACUGUCUAGCUUGAGUACAGGAGAGGAGAGUGGAAUUCCACAUGUAGCGGUGAUAUGCGUAGAUAUGUGGAGGAACACCAAUGGCGAAGGCAGCUCUCUGGCCUGAUACUGACGCUGAGGUGCGAAAGCGUGGGGAUCAAACAGGAUUAGAUACCCUCGUAGUC